UUUCAUGCUGCUCUUGUGUAAGUUCAAAGGAAGGAAUCCGUUCCUCCUGUUUCUUAUAUAACUCAACACAGCCCGGGUACACUGCAGACUCUUAAUUCUAGAUGCCUUUGUGAAUACUAUUGAAAGGUAAUCCUGAAUUUAAUUUCCAGGCUACACGAAUUGGAUUAUUUGGAUGCUAUGGCAAGAUAAGAUCACUUACUUCCAAACACGAAAAAAAUGAAACUGUGUUUAAAUAGAACUCAUAACUAAGAUGAAGAACAAACUAAAAGAUUCCAGCCCAGGAUGUCUGAAGUACUGAGUAGAAGUCUUCCUGUAUUCCCCAAAUUGGCAACUAAGGUCCCCGGCUGAGAACAAAAGGUCAAAUACCUCACAUUCUAACUUGAGAAAACUCGGCAGUUGAGGCCAGCCCAUUUUCUCAAGCUGACCGGGGCCAUUACAAACAGAUACUCUCCUCACCCACCUAAGAAAACAAUCCCCAGAUCAUUAUAAAAAGAUGACUAGAAAUUAGCAAGCUGUGCCAUUUUGAGGAAGGCGGUGUUUUUAAGGGUGGCUAUUCUCUCCUCCAACUUCCCUGGGGAUGAAAGGAGGUGAUUGUCUGAUUCUCCUCCCUAGUGCUACCAAAUGUGACUGAGCAUCUGGGAGAGAGGCUGUGGUGAGAUGGCCAGGAAAGGAGGCACAAGGACCACCCACAAGUUCAAGAGAUGAAGCAGAUGGCUCCUGCCUGUGGCCACAGAUUUCACGCUGAGGGGAAAGCAGGGGACAACCCACACAUGGCUGCAACUUUUGUGAUACAGGAUUCGGUGAUCAGCCCCGUCUGAGGAAAGCCAAACCCACGCAGAGCUGUGUUGGAUGGAAGGUUGGUUCUGCACACCCUUGCCCGGCAGCGCAGGUUGGGAAACUGAAUGCAGCGGACUGCACGGCCAUGUCUAAGACAGAAAAAAAGCAAGAGAUACUUGAAGCUCUGUGAGGGGAAAGACCACACGGGUCUUGUUCAGCUGCAGCGACCGGCCAUCGUCAGUGCUCACUUAAAAAUAUCUGUGGAAUACAUGGCAGUAUGAAUGGAUGAGUAAAGCACUGGGGACUGUACUAAGCCCUUCUCCUGCAAUGGCCCAUUUCACAACAACCUUCUGGAGUGGCUGCCAUCAUCAUCAUCUCAUAGGUGAGAGAAAUGAAGCUGAAUCAGAGAAGCAAGCCGAAUGCACGAAGGUAAAACUUGAAGAGGAAGCUGAUGAUGAGAGUCCUCUUGAACUCCACCUUCCCACCCGGAGCUGAGCCUGGAAGGGAGACUUCGUGCAGAACCAGCCUGCAAGCUGCAUCCAGCAUCUCUUCAUUCCAGGGCCUGU